rnacentral:rRNA from 1 species
GCGAACGGGUGAGUAAUGCAUCGGAACGUGCCCAGUCGUGGGGGAUAACUGCUCGAAAGAGCAGCUAAUGCCGCAUACGACCUGAGGGUGAAAGCGGGGGACCGUAAGGCCUCGCGCGAUUGGAGCGGCCGAUGUCAGAUUAGCUAGUUGGUGGGGUAAAGGCCUACCAAGGCAACGAUCUGUAGUUGGUCUGAGAGGACGACCAGCCACACUGGGACUGAGACACGGCCCAGACUCCUACGGGAGGCAGCAGUGGGGAAUUUUGGACAAUGGGCGCAAGCCUGAUCCAGCAAUGCCGCGUGCAGGAAGAAGGCCUUCGGGUUGUAAACUACUUUUGUCAGGGAAGAAAUCUUCUGGGCUAAUACCCCGGGAGGAUGACGGUACCUGAAGAAUAAGCACCGGCUAACUACGUGCCAGCAGCCGCGGUAAUACGUAGGGUGCGAGCGUUAAUCGGAAUUACUG